rnacentral:lncRNA from 1 species
GUGUAAAUUAAGUAUUUGAAAGCAAUUGAACGAUGGAGCCAGACAUCAUUCGAAUGUACUCUUCAUCCCCACCACCACUAGACAAUGGAGCUGAGGAUGAUGAUGACGAUGAAUUUGGGGAAUUUGGUGGGUUUUCUGAAGUUAGCCCUUCUGGUGUAGGGUUUGUUGAUUUUGAUACACCAGAUUACACUCGUCCCAAGGAAGAGUUUGUACCUUCAAACCAUUUUAUGCCAAUUCAUGAUUUCUCAGAAAAUGUAGAUAGCCUUACAAGCUUUAAGUCCAUUAAAAAUAGUAACGAUAAGGACAUCACUGCUGAACUUUCUUCUCCUGUGAAAGGACAGUCUGAUGUUUUACUUUCUACCACCAGCAAAGAAAUAAUUUCAUCUAAAACUUUAGAUACUUCCAUUGAUGGCAUAGAAAGUCCACGAGAUUUAAAUAAAGAAGUUGAGCAGAGACAGAAUGUUGGAACACCUGAAAGUUUCUCUCCAGGAGAUUUUAGAACUGAUCUGAAUGUUGUUCAUCAGAACAAGCAGUUAGAGAGCUGCAAUGGUGAAAAGCCUCCUUGUCUGGAGAUUCUAACAAAUGGGUUUGCAGUGUUGGAAACUGUAAAUCCUCAGGGAACAGAUGAUCUGGACGCUGUAGCUGAUUCAAAAGGACGAAAGCCUGUUAGCACUCAUAGUACUGAGUAUAAUUUAGACUAUGCACCUAGUCCCGCUGAGGAAUUUGCAGAUUUUGCCACAUUUUCCAGAAAAGAAAGGAUACAACUAGAAGAAAUAGGAUGUGCAGUUUUAAAUGAUGAAGCACUAACCAUUCAGGAAAACAAUAAAAUUAAUAGAGUCAAUGAACUGAAUUCUGUAAAAGAAGUUUCUUUGGAUAGAAGCUUUGAUGAUAAAGGAGACACUGCUAGAAAGGAUCAGGUUUGUGUUUCAGAAAUAAGCAUAGCGAGUGACAGGGGUUUCAGCAGGGGAAAGCAAGGCCUUCCCACAUUGCAACAAGAUGAAUUUUUCAAUUCAAGGGUUCAGUCAGAGGCUUGGAGUUUGGCAGACCCAGCUGAAAAAUCAGAAGCCAGUAGGAGAGAACAAUGUGAAGCUGAGGAAAAUCUUGAUUUAUUCACUUCUAAAUGUGCUGACCUGUGCAUGGUUUCUAUUAAAACUUUGGAUGCAGAUGACGAAGUUGGUUCUUCCAAAGAAGAAAUUAGAGGGUUUACUGACUCCCAGAGCCUCAGCUUUGAUCCUACAGAAGAAAAUGUUUUGGAUGAUUCUGUGAGUGUAAAAAAUGAUGAUAGUAGUAAUGACUUUGUGACUUGCAACGAUACCAUUGAGGAUGAUUUUGGUGACUUUGGCACAGCCAGUGGCACAACUCCACCUUUUGUUACUGCUGGUACCCAAGAUUCAAUGAGUGAUGUCACUUUUGAAGAGUCCUCAGAGCACUUUCCACAUUUGAGUGAACCAGGUGAUGACUUUGGAGAAUUCGGGGAAUCAAAUACUGUCUCUUGCCAAGAGGAGAUUGUAUUUUCUGAGUCAGACCUAAAACAGACUUCUGAUAGUUUAUCAGAGGGAUGCAGUUUGGCAAGAAAACCUACUGGGACAGGCACUGAACCUAUUUCAAAACUGGAAAUUGGGCAAGAAGGUGAGUUUGGAGACUUUGAUUCUGUGCCAAAUAUUCAAGAUGACUGCAGUGCUUUUCAAGACUCGGAUGAUUUUGCGGACUUCAGUUCAGCUGGUCUUAGCCAGGUUGUAGAUUGGAAUGCUUUUGAGGAUGGACAGAAAGAUAGCUAUUCCUGGGCUGCUUUUGGAGACCAGCAAGCCACUGAAUCUCAUCAUCGAAAGGAAGCCUGGCAGUCGCAUAGGACAGAUGAAAAGAUUGAUGCUCCAGGAACCCCCAAAGUGCACAGUGUCUCCUUAGCAGCUUCCAAAGGAGCAGUUGCUGGUGGUCAUUUACACGAAACAACCACUUCAGUUCAGGUGCACGAAAGCUUUUCUGCCCGUGGACGCCGCCGAGAAAGCAUCGUUGAAGUCUUCCCCGCCUCCACUGCCGUCAUGUCUAAAUCAGAGUCUCCCAAAGAGCCCGAACAGCUGCGGAAGCUCUUCAUUGGAGGAUUGAGCUUUGAAACAACCGAUGAGAGUCUGAGGAGCCAUUUUGAGCAAUGGGGAACGCUCACAGACUGUGUGGUAAUGAGGGAUCCAAACACCAAGCGAUCCAGAGGCUUCGGGUUUGUCACAUACGCCACGGUGGAGGAGGUGGAUGCGGCCAUGAAUGCAAGGCCACACAAGGUGGACGGAAGAGUUGUGGAACCAAAGAGGGCCGUCUCAAGAGAAGAUUCUCAAAGACCUGGUGCCCACUUAACUGUGAAAAAGAUUUUUGUUGGUGGCAUUAAAGAAGACACUGAAGAACAUCACCUGAGAGAUUAUUUUGAACAGUAUGGGAAAAUUGAAGUAAUUGAAAUCAUGACUGACCGAGGCAGUGGCAAAAAGAGAGGCUUUGCUUUUGUAACCUUUGAUGACCAUGACUCCGUAGACAAGAUUGUCAUUCAGAAAUACCACACUGUGAAUGGCCACAACUGUGAAGUGAGAAAAGCCCUGUCUAAGCAAGAGAUGGCUAGUGCU